UAUUAUAUAUAAUGUGUGUGUGUGUGUAAAACAAAAUGCAUCAAAAAGUUUGCCCAUGACUGAUAUAUAUAUAGUUUGCCCAUGACUGAUAUAUAUAUAUAUAUAUAUAUAUAUAUAUAUAUAUAUAUAUAUAUAUAUAUCAGUCAUGGGCAAACUUUUUGAUGCAUUUUGUUUUAAAAUUUGACAGACAAGCCAGUGGCAGAUGGAUGGAGAGUGUUUGUAUAAAUGAAUUGAAAAGAAUGAACAAAUUCUUAUGCACACUGCACAUAUCUUGCUUUUAGUACAAAAAAAAAGGAAAGAAAGAACAAUUUUAACCAACAUAAACUUAACAGUGUUUCAGUGGAAGACCCCAGGGACCAUCUAGUUCAACCCCCUUGUGCUAUACAGGAGAAGCACAAUUAAAGCACCCUCAACAGAUGGCCCCACAGCCGUAGUAGUAGUAGUAGUAGUAGUAGUAGUAGUAGUAAUAGCAACAGAAACCCAGGGGGCAACCAGUUCAACUCCCUUUUGUCAGGCAGGAAAAACACAAAAUACUCCCUGAACGGUGGGAAAUGGGGUUUUGGAAGCAAGGAUGGUGAGAGGAAAAGGAUCUGGGUGGCAAGGAAAGUGAGCAAAAAAGAGUUUUGGGGGGAAGUCAUAGGGAGGAGGGAGCAAGCUUGUUUUCUGCUGCCCUGCAGACUAGGACACGGAACAAUGGCUUCAAACUACAGGAAAGGAGAUUCCACCUGAACAUCAGGAAGAACUUCCUCACUGUGAGGGCUGUUCGACAGUGGAACUCUCUCCCCUGGGCUGUGGUGGAGGCUCCUUCCUUGGAGGCUUUUCAGCAGAGGCUGGAUGGCCAUCUGUCGGGGGUGCUUUGAAUGCGAUUUCCUGCUUCUUGGCAGGGGGUUGGACUGGAUGGCCCAUGAGGUCUCUUCCAACUCUACUAUUCUAUGAUUCUAUGACUGUCUUGAAGUAUAUUUCACUCACUAUAUUUCUCAGCAUAGUCAUUUAUGAAAUAAAGUAACGGUCAGGGCUGUAGCCAAGGGGGGGGGCUUAGAGGUUAAACCCCCCCCUCAAUUUUACUCAUAAAUUUUAACUGGUUAACCAAAUCCCCAUGGAUGUCCACUGAAGUUUAUCUGUCUUGAGUGUCCACUGAAGUUUAUCGAUGGAGCUUGAUUUCUAAAUUAUGGAACUACUCUUCAUGAUUUGCUAAAAAAAAAAUCAACCCCCUG
rnacentral:lncRNA from 1 species